rnacentral:tRNA from 1 species
GUAUCCGUAGCUCAGCUGGAUAGAGCACAAGCCUCCGACGCUUGGUGCCGCUGGUUCGAAUCCAGUCGGGUACACCA